CCUACGGGAGGCAGCAGUGGGGAAUCUUGCACAAUGGAGGAAACUCUGAUGCAGCGAUGCCGCGUGAGUGAAGAAGGCCUUUGGGUUGUAAAGCUCUUUCGUCGGGGAAGAAAAUGACUGUACCCGAAUAAGAAGGUCCGGCUAACUUCGUGCCAGCAGCCGCGGUAAUACGAAGGGACCUAGCGUAGUUCGGAAUUACUGGGCUUAAAGAGUUCGUAGGUGGUUGAAAAAGUUAGUGGUGAAAUCCCAGAGCUUAACUCUGGAACUGCCAUUAAAACUUUUCAGCUAGAGUAUGAUAGAGGAAAGCAGAAUUUCUAGUGUAGAGGUGAAAUUCGUAGAUAUUAGAAAGAAUACCAAUUGCGAAGGCAGCUUUCUGGAUCAUUACUGACACUGAGGAACGAAAGCAUGGGUAGCGAAGAGGAUUAGAUACCCUCGUAGUCCAUGCCGUAAACGAUGCGUGUUAGACGUUGGAAAUUUAUUUUCAGUGUCGCAGCGAAAGCGAUAAACACACCGCCUGGGGAGUACGACCGCAAGGUUAAAACUCAAAUGAAUUGACGG
rnacentral:rRNA from 1 species